rnacentral:rRNA from 1 species
UCGAACGGUGAAGCCCAGCUUGCUGGGUGGAUCAGUGGCGAACGGGUGAGUAACACGUGAGCAAUCUGCCCCUGACUCUGGGAUAAGCGCUGGAAACGGCGUCUAAUACUGGAUAUGAACCGUGGAGGCAUCUUCAACGGUUGGAAAGAUUUUUUGGUCAGGGAUGAGCUCGCGGCCUAUCAGCUUGUUGGUGAGGUAAUGGCUCACCAAGGCGUCGACGGGUAGCCGGCCUGAGAGGGUGACCGGCCACACUGGGACUGAGACACGGCCCAGACUCCUACGGGAGGCAGCAGUGGGGAAUAUUGCACAAUGGGCGCAAGCCUGAUGCAGCAACGCCGCGUGAGGGAUGACGGCCUUCGGGUUGUAAACCUCUUUUAGCAGGGAAGAAGCGAAAGUGACGGUACCUGCAGAAAAAGCGCCGGCUAACUACGUGCCAGCAGCCGCGGUAAUACGUAGGGCGCAAGCGUUAUCCGGAAUUAUUGGGCGUAAAGAGCUCGUAGGCGGUUUGUCGCGUCUGCUGUGAAAUCCCGAGGCUCAACCUCGGGUCUGCAGUGGGUACGGGCAGACUAGAGUGCGGUAGGGGAGAUUGGAAUUCCUGGUGUAGCGGUGGAAUGCGCAGAUAUCAGGAGGAACACCGAUGGCGAAGGCAGAUCUCUGGGCCGUAACUGACGCUGAGGAGCGAAAGGGUGGGGAGCAAACAGGCUUAGAUACCCUGGUAGUCCACCCCGUAAACGUUGGGAACUAGUUGUGGGGUCCAUUCCACGGAUUCCGUGACGCAGCUAACGCAUUAAGUUCCCCG